AGAGUUUGAUCCUGGCUCAGGAUGAACGCUGGCGGCGUGCCUAAUACAUGCAAGUCGAACGCUUUGUUUUUAAUUGAUAUGAAGAGCUUGCUCUGAUUUGAUUUUAUCUGACAAAGAGUGGCGAACGGGUGAGUAACACGUGGGUAACCUACCUCUUAGCAGGGGAUAACAUUUGGAAACAAGUGCUAAUACCGUAUAACACUAACAACCGCAUGGUUGUUAGUUGAAAGAUGGUUCUGCUAUCACUAAGAGAUGGACCCGCGGUGCAUUAGCUAGUUGGUAAGGUAAUGGCUUACCAAGGCGAUGAUGCGUAGCCGAGUUGAGAGACUGAUCGGCCACAAUGGGACUGAGACACGGCCCAUACUCCUACGGGAGGCAGCAGUAGGGAAUCUUCCACAAUGGGCGCAAGCCUGAUGGAGCAACGCCGCGUGUGUGAUGAAGGGUUUCGGCUCGUAAAACACUGCUAUAAGAGAAGAACGACAUUGAGAGUAACUGUUCAGUGUGUGACGGUAUCUUAUCAGAAAGGAACGGCUAAAUACGUGCCAGCAGCCGCGGUAAUACGUAUGUUCCAAGCGUUAUCCGGAUUUAUUGGGCGUAAAGCGAGCGCAGACGGUUAUUUAAGUCUGAAGUGAAAGCCCUCAGCUCAACUGAGGAAGGGCUUUGGAAACUGGAUAACUUGAGUGCAGUAGAGGAAAGUGGAACUCCAUGUGUAGCGGUGAAACUGCGUAGAUAUAUGGAAGGACACCGGUGGCGAAAGCGGCUUUCUGGACUGUAACUGACGUUGAGGCUCGAAAGUGUGGGUAGCAAACAGGAUUAGAUACCCUGGUAGUCCCACACCGUAAACGAUGAGUGCUAGAUGUUCGAGGGUUUCCGCCCUUGAGUGUCGCAGCU
rnacentral:rRNA from 1 species